rfam:Rattus norvegicus chromosome 14, whole genome shotgun sequence.
GGGGAUUUAGCUCAGUGGUAGAGCACUUGCUUAGGAAGCGCAAGGCCCUGGGUUCGGUCCCCAGCUCCA